rnacentral:lncRNA from 1 species
GGGAACUUUCUGACUCCGACAGCGGGGGAUCGGGGCCCCGAUCAAAGUGAUCAAAGGAUUUCAACUGGGCGAGAAUGGCGUCAAGUUUAGAAUCUGACGAUGCUUGCUUCGCCGCCGCUGCAGACUGGGCAGCGCGAAGUUCCUCCAGUGCCUUCUCUAUCUGCUCCAUGCGUUGUUGGUCUCUCGUCAUCGUCAUCUUUCGAUCCGGCAGGUCGGACCAAUUUGAUAGAGUAAAGGCGUAUGAAGAUAAGGAAAUAAGAAAGAAAAUAAAAGUACGAUAUAUAAACUCCUCCUGCGAGGCCCUCAGAGAAAAAUAUCUCUGCCCUACAGCUAUUGUUGUCCCUAAACAAUGAUCCCAAGAUAAUUAACCCUAAGUCGUAAAGAACUAUAUAUAGACCUAAUGACUUGAGGCCCAAUUAAAUACCUUGGAGCCCAUGAGUCUGACCUAAAAACUUAACCCUAAAUAAUUGAACUACUGCGAAAAAUAAAAGAUAACUAUGAACUAACAAAAACUAAUAUAAUAAAGAUAAUCCUAGAUCUGCAGACUGCAGCUGAUCUAACGCUAUCAUAUUUUGACAAAAUUUUCCUUGGUUGUCUACGCAGCUUCAAGUCUGCCGAGAUUAACAGCUGGCUUUGGUCUUUUUGCCUUGAUGGGUGUGUUCUUGGCAUCAAUAGGUCUAGUUUUCUUUCAUAGAUGUAGCAGGUAACUCUAGAUAUUGUACGUGCUUUGUGUUUUUUCUUUUUCUGGUGGGUUUUAUGUGCAUUAUGUAUUUUUGUGGAAUAGUUCAUUUAGCUUGUUUCAUAUUUAUACACGGAUCAUAUUUUAAGAUGUCACUACCUGCAACUUAUUUUAGUGAAUUGAAGUAUCCUAGUAGUAGUGGGCAUAUUUGUUCGCAAAUGUUUAUGUCCAUUUACUUUAUGGUGUUCAAAUAAUGUCUAAAAAUUCUUUGAUAUUUAGAUGAAAAAUGCAGCUAUUCCUACAAAUCAAAUGGGUUGUUUAUGUUCUUUGAUCUUAAUAUACAUUUUUAAUUUUGUGUUGAAUUUUUAUUUUCUGGUCAUUAUUAUCAUGAUGUUAUCAGUCAUUGCACUGCCAAAACUUACCUAAACAUUCCAAUCUUUCUAGCCGAUUUUAUGUAAAAAAAUGUUUGUAUAAUUAAUGGAUUGCUAGCAAGUCUAACUUUGUGUCUGGCUCUAAUUUGCAGCAAGGACCCUGACUUUAUCAGAAUGAAUGUUCUUGAUCUAGAAAAUAUGAAAGAUGAUGUAAGUAUGCUCGGGGAAUAGUUUAGUCAUUCAUUAUUUCAUAUUUGUGGCUCUUACCUUUUCAUGUAUGUGUAGUUUUUCCUGGUAUUGAAUUUAUUGAUUCCGUGUCGGAGCCAUUGCUAAAGAUCGAAAUUAAUAAUCCUGCUUUGAUUAAUGGAAAUUGAUCUCAGCUUUGUGCAACUUGCAAGUUGCAAGGUAUUAUUUUUCCACCUUGAAUUGUUGUUUGUCUCCAUCAAAGAGAAAAAAAAUUAUCCUGCCAACAUAUUUAUAUAUUUUUUGUACUCCUUCAUGAGAAGUUCAAGUUUAUUUUUUCAUAUUGUUAGGCCUCCUCGUGCAAAACAUUGUUCCACCUGUUAUCAUUUUGUCAACAUGCACUGCCGCGAUAAACAAUUCUAGGUGGCUAAAUCUUAGGCAAGUAUUAAGUUGUUUUUAGUUUUUCCAUCGAAAUUCGAAAUGAUACAACUUAUAUGUUUGACCUCUUCGUGCCAAACAUUGUUCCACCUAUGAUCGUUUUGUCGACGUGCUCUGUCGCGAUAAACAAUUGUGGGUGGCUAAAUCUUAGCCAGGUAUUAAGUUGGUUUUAGUUUUCCAUCAAAAGUCGGAAGGUUACAACUUAUAUAUCAGAUGCAGAUGCAUUGCUAUAGUAUAAAGACCGUUUACUUUGAUAUGACCAUAAAACAAAUAAGAGACAUGUACAUACUCCAAACAUUAUCGAAUCUUAUGUCUGAAAACAAUAUGUAAUUGAAGGUAUAGAAGAUAGAGGCAUAGAGCACAGUUAAACUGGAAGGUAGUCUCUUUGUCAUAGUCAUUCCAUUUGCGGCAGUGGUAAAACUAUUAUUUGCAAAGAAGCAAUAUGUUCAUUACUUUCUCUUUUAGUAUCAUCAGUCAUCAACAGAAAUACUUUAAGCCUUUAUGAGACUACGCACUUGUUGAUCGUAAGGCAUUAACAGUAUGUCUUCAUUCAUUGAGUAAAAUGUGAUGUAAAAACUCUAAAAAUGUAGUAGCCCUGAUCUAAUUUUGCAUAUAGUUGAUGAAAAUCUGUAUUAGGAAUCUGUUUGGAACUUAAAAACCAUUUUUGUGGACGGUGCCGAGUUGAAGGGCCGUCGCUUAAGUUCUGAUAUUUGUUUGCUUCAGAACUUUGGAAGCCAAUUUUCCCAGUUCUGCAUCACACGGUCCCAACAUGAUUUAGUACCUCAAGAAUCAUCUGUUUCUGGUGGGGCUGGGGCAUAUGUAUUUGUCAUCAUUUUUGACACUCUACUCUAACAUGCAUCAACAAAGUAGAUUCAAAUACGCCCUGCUCCCUACUAAUUUACAGUUCGGUUCAACUGAAUUUUCUCAUCUCUCUAUCAUUCUAAUGUGGAAUUUGCUUACACAUGUAUGCAUUAAUUGAUCUCUCUGGAUAUGGGUUCUUUGCAUGGAGUGUGCAUUAGUAAUGAUGAACAAGUCAUCAUAUAUUAUUCGUAUUUUCUGCAUGGUGUAUUGGAAGCUGUUCGUAUAAGCUUGGCAGGAUAUGCCACGAGCAUUACAUAUCAUGUAUUUGCUGACCGAUUCGGGAUAAUUUGCUUAGAUAUCAGGAUAAUUUCCUAUUUUGAUCUAUUUUUACUCAUGCAAUAUGCUUUUUCGUAACACAUCAAAUUAAGUGUCAGAAUGUUGAACAGUAACCACUUGCUUUUUAGUCUUUUGAUUGUCAUGUAUUUUGGUAUUGCUCUAUUCUCGAUUUCUCUAAUGCUUGGCUGGUAUAAAAUACGUUGUUUCUUUGACUAUUCGUUAUGAGUGUUUAAUGUUGUAGGACAGGUCUCUGUUACUGAUAUAUAACUCUAUGCUGUUAGCAAUUCAUUGAAUAGCAUCUCUUGAGCUAAUAAUUUUAAAAAUUUGUUGUUUUUUGUGUUUUCAUCUUUCUCUUGAUAUUUUGACAUUUCAUUUGCGUUUUUUGUUUAAAAUAUUUUGAUAUUUCAUUGAUACUAACCAUGCGUCAAUUAAUGCAGAUAAAAAUAUGACUUUUUUUCAUCUAUCUUUCUUUUUUCAAUUUUGUUUUAUUCAACGAUCUGAGGAAGCCAUUAAUUGUUUUUUGCUAUUGUUCUAGUCUUCUAGAUAUCUUUGCAACUAUGCCAUGCUGUCAGCCUAAAAAAUUUAUUAAAUGUGAUGGUUAUUGAUAGUUACACACAUCCAUUUUUCAUAUAAUUUAAUAAAAUGCUUGCUUCUCUUUCAUUUUUUUNGCUUCAAUUGGAUAAUUUAUAUAUGUACCAUCUUCUUAGGCUGUUUAUAGCUGGAUGCUACAUGUACUUGUUGCAGAGAGAUUUUAUCAUAGAAUGUCGAAAGCGAGCGUGUAGCUGCUUUGUUUAUUAUCUCUUUAGUGUUAGCAUAGUAUGUUUGAAUUAAGUAUAAGUUUCGGCUGCUAGUUCUUGUAUUGGGCUUAGCAAGCCCACUUAUAGUUAAGCUUCUCUUGGAAGCUACUAUUGACUUCCCCUAGAAGUCAAGCUCGGAAAUAAAAGAAGUCUCUCUCCUUCAGAGGGGGACUUGUCUAGGAUCUUUUGGUUGGAAAAUCAGUGGCUAAUUGCCAUUUGGGUAGAGAGAGAGUUCCUCCUCUGUUGUAGUUUGUCUUUUGAUUAUAUAAUUCCUCUUAGUUCGGUAUUUGUGUUUGUGUUCUCAUUACUUCUAUCAAUUUGGUCCGACCCGCCGGAUGCCAAAGACUCGAAGUAUAACUCGUGGGGAGACAGACGUCAAAGACGGGGAGAUAGAUGAAGAGAACGGUGAUAUUAGGGCUGAAUGGGAACAAUUGCUCCCUAAAAUCGAGAUGAUUGAAGAAAGGAAGAUAUGGCAAAACUUGGACAGAUGAUGACCCGACUACUGUGGGAAAAAGAGCUAGAUGUUGUGGAAGAGCGGACGAGCUGUACUGAGAAUCGACAGCGCGCAGACGUGACUAUGUUUGUCGAGCAUGGGGCAGGCAGCAGAUCUACGAAUUAUGGGGUCGACCCACACAAAGGUCUGAACCCGAAUGUGUCUGUAGCUCCGAACGGGGCAUCGUCGAGUAGGGGUAUGAAUAAAAUGGCUUGGAGUGGAGAGCCACAGGCUGCCUCAAUGGUGAAUCUCACGCACGAACGUCAACCUCAAUCAAAUCCUGCACAAGAGUUUGGAGAGCAACGUCAAGACUGGGGUAUUAUAAAUCCGGGCAUCAACCGGCCCAACGGGCGACUGAACGGAGCUAUUCCACCUCCACCAGGUUUAGAAAACUAUGUGUUUGGUUCGAAUGGGACCACACCAGGAUUUAAUUUUUCGGGGAUAAUGCCUCAAAGAAUCCCAACUUCUCAUGAGACGUUCAUGGCACCAACCCGCAUCAAUCUACCCAUGUUUGAUGGGAGCAAUCCUGAAGGUUGGAUAGCUAGAGCUGAGCAAUAUUUUACUCUCCAUGGCACUGCUGAAGUGAGUAAAGUGGAAGUGGCGCUUAUUGCAAUGGAAGGGGAUGCCCUUCACUGGUAUCAUCAGCUCACAUGAUCCCGAUUGCCAUAUUUAACAUGGAGCCAAUUAAAGACUGUAUGGCUAAUGCAUUUGAAUCCCUGAUGUACACCUCUCAAACAGGAACAGUAAGUGAAUAUGUCAGCUCUUUUAUUUCAUAUCUAGUGCAUGUUACUGGCCUCGCUGAAAACUAUUGUCUUGGAAUGUUUUUACAUGGGUUACGUGAUGAAAUACGUUUGCGUAUACGCUCACGACUUCCAAAGAUUUAUUUGAAACCAUAUAUAUAGCUAAAGAAGUGGAGAGAGAGAUUGGUGCUCUUCGAGGAUAUGAACACACUAAGAUUUCAACUCUUGUCAGAAAUAAUGCGAUGGGAGGUGGUAAUUGGAGUUGGUACUCGUCAUCAAAUCUGCAAAAUAAUCAGAACAUUCAAAGAAAUAGUUCGGGAACGGUAAGCGGUAGCUUGGGGAUGGGGAAUCGAAAUCAACCUACUUCCCAAAGUUAUAGCUCCGUCGGGUCUAGUUACAAUCAGCCACGUAGCAGAUCGAUUGGCCACAAACGAUGAAGAUAAGAGGAACUGUUUCAAAUCAAGAGUUGCUUGUUAUGGUGGAUAGUGGAGCAAGCAACUGCUUCAUAUCCCGCAACAUGGCCACCAAGCUUGCGCUUUCAAUUGACACUAGUCAAAGCUGUGCAGUGCGUCUUGGUGAUGGUCGUAAGGCCGCUAUCAUUGGGGUGUGCCGAGAGUUGUCACUCGAAUUAGGAGGUGAAAAGUUCGACCCGGAAUGUUGUCUUUGACUUGGGAAAUGUUGACUUGAUCUUUGGCAUCUCAUGGCUAGCUACCCUUGGAGAAGUACAGGCUGAUUGGAGUAAGAUGACAAUGCGGUUCCACCGUAACGGCAAAAUUCUUACUCUUCGCGGCGAGUUGGGCCUCGUUUUCGUGCCUUGUCAUUAGCCCGAAUUUGUAAAGUGCGACAAAUAGAGGCAAGUUGGCUAGUAUGGAUUAGAAAUACACCGCACGAAAUUAAGUUUUCUAAGCUCGAAUCAUCAAUUAAUGGCAAAGAUGCCGAUGACUAUCUACGACAAAAAAUGGAGAAGGAAUUCCCUCAGGUUAUGCAGCCACCGGUGGGACUUCCCCCUUACAGGAGCAUUGAUUAUCAUAUUCCUUUUAAGUAGGGAGCUCCUCCAGUUUCAGUAUGACUUUAUUGAUACAGUCAUGCUGCCAAAGAUGAAAUGGAGAGAUUGGUGCAAGAGAUGAUAGAGGCUGGAAUUAUACAGCCCAGUUCGAGUCCUUACUCAAGCCCAGUGCUAUUGGUUCGAAAAAAAGAUGGAAGUUAGCAUUUUGUGUUGACUAUAGAGAGUUUAACAAGCAAACUAUGCCAGACAAGUACCCAAUUCCAGUUAUUCAGGAGAUGCUAGACGAAUUACAUGGUGUUUGAUGGUUUUCGAAGCUUGAUCUACCAUCUGGAUACCACCAGAUUUGAGUUGCUUCAGAAGAUAUUGCUAAGACUGCGUUCAGGACUCUUUCUGGUCAUUAUCUCCCUAAGUUUGUCCUAGUUUUCUUUGAUGAUAUUCUUAUGUACAACGGUGAUUAACAGGACCAUGUGCAACACUUAUGCACAAUUAUGUCCCUAUAGCGUGAGCACGCGUAUGUGGAUAAUCCAAAGAAGUGUGCUUGGGGCCAAAUUGUGGUGGAAUAUUUGGGUCAUAUUUUGUCAUUUGAAGGGGUUCAGAUGGAUCAAGGGAAGGUUUCAGCAAUCUUUUGAUGGCCUGUGCCCCCCUCAUCAGUGAAGAGUGUUCGUGGAUUCUUGGGGCUAACCGGCCACUACUGCCGAUUCAUUCAAAAUUACGGUUAAAUUGCUCGUCCUCUAACUGGUUGCUUCAAAAGGAUAGAGUAACCAAUUUCAGUUGGACACCCACAGCCCAAUCACAAUCAGCUUUCAGAAAGCUGUGACCACAGCCCCGGUAUUAGCUACUCCUGAUUUUUUCAAACCUUUUGUCAUAGAGUGUGAUGCAUCGGGACUAAUGGCACUUGUCCUAGCAGGUCAACAUUGGCGGCCUUAUUUAGUGGGCCUUAUUUAGUGGGACAGAGAUUUAUCGUGCGAACAUAUCAAUGUAGUUUUUGUUUUUUAUUGGGACAACCAGUUUCAACACCAACACAACAAUUUUGGGUGGCUAAAUUAUUGGGUUUUGAUUUUCAAAUCGAUAUAAGGCAGGGGUGGCUAACCGUGUUGCUGGUGCCUUGUCUCGAAGUUAUGAAGAGAUAAAGUGUGCAACUGUAUCGAUACCUCCGUGGAUGGGGUGGACGGUGAUUUGUGAAGAGACUCGAAAGGAUGAGAAGUUGGCAGUUAUUCGGUCAAAAUUGGUCGUGGGAUUAUCAGACUAUCCAGCGUACUCCAUUAUUAAUGAUGUCUUGUAUUUUCAGGGUCGCUUGGUGCUAGACAAGAAUUCAGUAUUCAUUCCUCGCUUGUUGGCUGAGUUCCAUGCUUCACCGCAAGGGGGACAUAUCGGCGACUCGCUUCAAAUGUAUAUUGGGUUGGCAUGAUGAAGAAUGUGACAAACUUUCUGGCUGAGUGCUUAAUCUAUCAAAAGCAAAAGUAUGAAGCACAUGCUCCAGGAGGCUUACUACAACCUUUGCCCAUUCCAACACGAAUUUGGGAGGAUGUCAGUAUGGAUUUCAUUGAGGGAUUGCCACGAUCGGGACCCUAUGAUUGUAUUUUGGUGGCGGUGGAUCGUUUAUGCAAAUAUGCACAUUUCUUGGGUUUGCGACACCCAUUUACUGUGCGCGAUGUAGUAUCUGUUUUUGUGAGGGAGAUUGUUCGGCUCCAUGGAGUUCCAUUAUCUAUUGUGUCGGACCGGGAUAAAGUUUUCUUGAGUGGAUUUUGGCCUGAAUCAUUUAAGGCUAUGAGAACUAAAUUGAGCAUGAGUUCAGCUUACCAUCCGGAGACAGAUGGGCAAACAGAGCUAGUAAACCGUGGCGUUGAAAUUUAUUUGAGUAUUGUUAUAAUACUAGUUUUCAUUCAUCAGCGGGCAAUGUUUUAAAAAACGAAAAAAAACGCCACUUAUAUGCCGUUUCAAGCGGGGCGGCAGGAUACCGUUCCUCAUGCGCCGUUUACCCCCUCCCUCCUGAACGUACGCCUCCACCUCGCCGAGGCGGUGUGAGGCGCUGCAAGGCGCUGCGUCAAACCCUAGUUAGGUUUUCUGAUUUUCUGAACUUAAUUGGACUGGGCUUCAGGGCAUUAGGUGCAAAAAUAGAUGGGCUUAGUUAAAUUGAACCCUAAUUUAAAUGGGCUUUUAUAAUUUAAGUGUAAUUAACAUAUUAAAAUUAAAGUAAAAGGUCAGAAGGUUUUAAAAAUUGAAAAACCCAGCGGCAACUAGCGUCAACUCUCUGCGCUCCUCUCCUUUUCAUGUAUGCGACUUUAAUUUGAGAUUUUAAACACUUAAUAGCAGCUAUGAACUUAUGUAUUUUGAAUUAUUUGCUAUGUUUUUAUGUAUUUUGGAAUAUUUGCUAUGUCUUUAUGUGUUUUAUAACAUUAGGUAUAAUUUAUGUGUUUUGUUACGAAUUCCGUUUUUUUAUUCCGCCUCACUCCGUUUCAAAACUUACGCCUUGUGAGGCGGAAGAAAAAUGUUUCACCUUACAAAACGUACUUUAAAUAUUGUCUGCGACUCAGCGGAUUCGACACCUUUUGAAGUUGUAUAUGGGCGCCCUCCGCCUAAGCUUGGGUGUUUCUUACCAUCUGAGAUAAGAGUCAGGGCAGUGGUUGAUGAGUUAACAACCAGGGAUGAUGUUCUUCGUCAUCUCAAGGAACAUCUUGAGCGUGCUCAACAACGUACGAUUCAUGCUGCCAAUAAGUGUCGCAGAGAUGUGCAGUUUGCAGUGGGCCAAAAAGUCUUUCUCAAGCUCGACCACAUCGACAAUCCUCUUUAUUUGGUCAGGGAGUGUAAAGUUAGCUGCAAAAUUUUAUGGACCUUUUGAAAUUCUGAAAAGGAUUGGUCCUGUUGCUUAUCGGCUACUACUUCCAGCUUCUUCGUGGUUACAUCCUUUUUUCACGUCUCGCAACUUAAGACGAUGGUGGGCAAUCAUUCAGUAGAAACCGAGUUGCCCAAAUAAUUGAGGCAGUCUGAUCCCGAAUUUGUUCCUGAAUGGAUUUUGCAUGACCGUUGGAUUUGGCAAGGAGAUGAGCGUGUCCAUCAAUUAUUGGUGCAAUGGAAGGAUAAGAGAUCGACGAGGCAACUUGGGUGGGAGAGGAUGAGUUCAGUGGGCAAUUUCCAGAAUUCAGCAUUGAGGACAAGGCUGUUUGGAAGGAGGGAGGAGUUGUUGCAGAGAGAUUUUAUCGUAAAAGGUCGAAAGCGAGCGUGUAGCUGCUUUGUUUAUUAUCUUUUUAGUGUUAGCUUAGUAUGUUUUGAUUAAGUAUAAGUUUGGGCUGCUAGUUCCUGCAUGGGCUUAGCAAGCCCACUUUAUAGUUAAGCUUCUCUUGGAAGCUACUAUUGACUUCCCCUAGAAGUCAAGCUAGGAAAUAAAAGAAGUCUCUCCUUUGGAGGAGGACUUGUCUAGGAUCUUUUGGCUGGAAAAUCAGUGGCUAAUUGUCAUUUGAGCAUAGAGAGUUCCUCCUCUGUUGUAGUUUGUCUUUUGAUUAUCUAUAUAAUUCUUCUUAGCUCGGUUGUGUUUGUGUUCUCUUUACUUCUAUCAGAACUAUUACGGGGCCUGAUAUCAAGGAGCAAUUAUGAGUCUAUUAUUGAGGAACAAGGCAACUAGGCUGCACGCUGCAUGCUGCAAAUGUCAAAGAUAGAGGCAAUAAGAAAAGCCAAGAAGAUGCAGGUUUUAUCAUUCGGAAACUAAAGAAGGAGAUAUCAGCCCUUAGUAUUAGAAACUGCUAUCUUCUAUCUUCAGUUUCAUGAGUUGAUACAUAUAUGAGGUGCAUCCAUUUUCUUGUAUUCAAAUCAGUACUAUCAGUUGAUAUCUUGGAAUCUGGAUUCGUAAGUUCUUCCCAUGGUGUUACUGAGGAUAAAGGACAAGAAUUCAGAUAACUCUGGAGGCAAUGCUGCUAAUAAAUGUGACAUUGUAGAUGAAACAGAGUUUAGGGUUCACUUGAUCAAAUAGGACUUGAUAGCUUUAACUUACAUGAACAGUCAUCUGGUACGCUUCUGUAAGCAUCUAUAUGCAAAGCGGAGAUGCUUUGGAUGAGAAAUCAGACGACGCAGAACUUGGUGAUUUCUUUUUGGAAGGCAGUUCAUUGGAUCAAGUCUUACCUCAUGAGAUAUUGGAAGAACAAAAGAGAGAAACUGUGAGAACUUUGUAGCGAAAAAAUUUAGAGAAAAUGGAAGCGAUUUGGGAGAAGGUAAUAAUAAAUUGUGCUCCUAUUUAGUCCCACCCUUUUGUUUCAACCUAUUUGUAGCUAUUUAUCUCCCUUCAAAUUGACUAACUGUUGCUUCAAUAUGUCGUAUGGCUUAAUUCAAGUUGUAUUACCAUAGGGAGAUCCAAAAAGGAUUCCAAAGGCUGUCCUUCACCAACUUUGCCAAAGAUCAGGGUGGAUGCACCAAAAUAUGAUAAAAGUUCUUGGUACAGGGAGCAGUUCUGGUUACUCUAUCAGUGUGCUGCAGACAGCUAGAGGGAGGGGUAAAAGUAGAAUAGCUGGAGGGUUGACGACAGUUCAGCUUCCACAUCUGGAUGAAAUUCUGAAUACACCAGAGGUACACACUUAUCUGCUAUUGUGAAUUGUGAUUAGUUGAAGAGUUAAUGCUAAACAACCACACUCAAGAACUAAUACCUUCCAGCAGUUUACUGUAUAAGAUAACAUAUGACUCUUUGCUUAUCAAAUUCAUAUUGAAUAUAGUACUUUCAACAUCAUCUUUGUGGGGAAACAAAUGCAUACUUACAAGAAUUGCUAGAGAAAUAAUUAGAGAUUUUCCUUGAUCUCUGAUAGACCGUGGCACUUCUGUUUUCUUUUCUUUUUCUUUUUAAUUGAAUCAGUUAUUUAUUCUUAGUUUUUCUUUUCAAGUAGUUUGGGCUAAAGGCCUGUAAUGUGUGCAUGGGCUUUUAGGGUUAGGGUUUCCUUUUUCCCUAUUUAAUAGGCAUAUCAUAGUUGGAGUUGUUUAUGUGGAAUAAUAGUAUUGUUCAGGGACAGUUAUUGUUGUAGGCCUCGGUGAGGAGUUUUCCGAUAUUUUCUUUUGUUUAUAAUAUUUUCGUUCAGUUCUCGUUCCCUCCACCUUUACUCUAUCAAUCUCUUAAUAGAGAAAAUAAAUUUCAAUUAGUUAUUUGUUCUUUAGAAGGAUUAGGAUUUUGAUCUUAUCCUUAAGACUGGAUCUUGGUGAUAAUAUAAGAGCAAUAUAAUGCAAGUGUUGGAUUAAAAAAUUGUUUUUAUAGCAACCUAAGUUGAAGUUUUUAGAUUCAGUAAGUGAUAAACCUCUAAGUUGACUAGUUUGAAGCUGAACCUGGUCAUAUUAGAAUAUAUCGUGCAAUUGCAAAGUUAGCUUGAAUAUAUCAUAGACGUUCACAACAUUAAGAACUUGAUUAGGUGCCUAGCUUCUUCCAUUACAAAGUUUGUUUCUGGGUUAUCUUUGGUUUGAGAAUGAAGAGGAUUUUUACUUUCGGGAUUGGGAAUGUUGGGUUUGGGAAUCACUUUAAAAUAGUAAGGAUAUAUGUUUGUUUAUGGCAGUAUGAUUUUCAUUGUGACCAAAUAUACACAUUUAACCAAAUAAUAUCAUUUGUUGUGAAGAAUGUCAAGAAUAAAUCGGUAUGAGUAUAGUUUCAUAUCGAUAAAUACAAAACAUUUUCAAUUAUGCCCCGCGUCCAAUUGCUAAGGAUGAGUUUUUCACGCCUAAUGUUAAACACAAUAUGCACACUGUAUACCUUACCAAAAUCGUCAUAUCUUAGGGUUUAAUGUUUAGGGUUUCCUAGUGAAUUAGACUUUGCUCCGACAGACGUGGGAGGGAAGUGCGGGCAGGGUCGGGUCGGGCAUGAAAUAUAAUAAAAAGUUUACGAAUCAAUUGAUUUAAUCAGAAUAUUAUGUGUAUUUAAUUAAAAUUAUUGAGUAUUAUAUACUAAUCAGCUGAUUAGUUAAAAUGUUAAAUACAAAAUUAAACGAAUUCGUCCUUCUAUUAAUAGAAAUUUAGAACGUAGUGCAUCAAUUAUUUUUCCAAAUGCAACGUUAGGCAUGGUAACAUUUUAUAACAAAAUAAAGAAGUUAAUCAAUAAUACUUCCUCAUUCCAUGAAAACUAUGGCAUUUUGGUUGGGAACAAGUUUUAAUGCAAUAUUUUGUGAAUGCUAUGUAGUGGAGAAAUGGUCCCACCAUUAUAUGAAUUGAGUGGUUGACGUUGAAUAAGUAUGGACUAUGGGUCAUGUGUGAAUUUUACGUAAAUAAGAGGUAUUUGUAUGGGUAAAAGAUAAGAAUAAAUGUGUGGCGAUGUCCUAGAAAAGAAAGUUUCAUACUUUCGGUUUACACAAAAAAUGCCAUAGUUUUGGUGGACGGAAAACUUCGUACAAAAUUAAUUAUAGAAAUAUACAUCUAAAUAAAAAGGUUGGAAGUUAUAAUCAAAUAUAUUUAUAUAAACAAUAUUACAAUGAAUGGUCUUGUUCACUAAUGUGUUGGCUCAUGUAGUAGUUCCCACCAAGUCCGACCGGGCCUGUUCAUGAGGCGAGCAGGAAUCAUUUUCUAUAAAUGCCAUGUUAGUUAACUUGGUAAGUAAUUUCAGUGCUCGAUUGGUGCCCAACUCUUUAAUAAUUUAACCCUACAGUAUGUUGUCUCAAAAGUUUAUAUGCGGACAUUCAUGGAAUCUAGAUAAGCAUAAUUAUUCUCCUAAUAGGUAUAAUCAUGCUAAUAGAAAUUACCCUAUUGUGAACAGGUCAAGUCCAACUCGCACCCAUCUCACAACUCGUGUAUCUUGUAGGCUUGCUUAAUGGUUGAGUGAAGUAACUUAAGGCCUAGAAAUUGAUAUGGAUGAUUAACUUAAUUAAUGAUUGACUACUAUAUUGAACUUGUUUUGUUUGAAUAUGUCUAGAGUAACAACAGCAACUGGAGUUAUUCAAAAAAAAAGCAACUAGAGGAAGAUCAUGUAUGGUACAUGGAUUAACAGAACCGAUUAAGCUAGGAAAUGGAAAAAUAUGGAUUCCAUUAAGGUGGUUGAUGGCUAAAGCAAUUAUGUGCACUAAAUUGUUACAUGCAUGUCAAUUACCUUUCUAUAAGUGUCUACUAUGCUGCAUAUUAAGUACUUGAACAAUUGCAUGUCGCGAUUUAUAUUUUGAAUAAUGCAUGGUAAGAAAUUUGAGUUGCAUAUCACUAUUAGGGUUUGAGAAACUGUAUUUCAACUUUAACAAUCAACCCACAAUUAGGUAGACCUAGAAUGAGGGUUUAGAAUAAUCUAUGGUUACAGUAUCAUGGGUGUGUCAGUAUACUAUAAAAAUCUCAUAUUGUUCCUUUCACAAAUAUGCAGUAUAAGUUAAAAAUUCUAUUUAAUAUCUUGGAUCAUAUUUAUCCUAUUCGUUUACUUUUCAAAAUCUACUUAUGAAUUAUAAUUAUUUAUAUCUCAUAGUUAAUUAGUUAUAUAACAUAAAUGUGACUUAUUUUAGAACUAUAAUUAUUGAUAUAUAAAUAUAACUAUAUACCUCAUACUUGUAUACCUAUAGUAUAUUAUAAUUAACAAUAUUGUUAUUAUAGUCUCAUUAUAACUAACUAUAUUGAUAUCAAUAUACAUGAAAAUAUACAUUAAUAUUAUUUUAUUAAAAUAAAAAAAAUACAUAUGUAGUUAUUGAAUGUUUAAAGUGUAUGUCGAACAUAAGUAUUUUUCACUUUGUAUUAAUAAUAUAGAUUAUAUAAUAUAUAAAUUAAAGCUCAAUUGGCAGCCAUGGAUUCUUGCGCAUGUUAGAAAAUUAUAUCUAGGAAAUAUAUUUAGGAGGAAGGGCUUGAGGGUGGGUCGUACUAGGUUCCACCCAUUUUGAGAAGUUAUAUGUGUUGUUCUUACUCAAAUAUGUGUUUAUGUGUUUAUUUCGAACCAUUGGAUGUUGGAUCCAAAUAUGAACGGUAUGCAUUCUAGAGCAUGUUAUACCAUAUCUAUGUGAACUAUGCAGACUUAAAACGGUUUUCUUUGUGAAAAAAAUGAGUUAUGUGUUGAUUUGAAACCAAGCAUGCAUUCUGCCCCUUUUUGGCUUUCAAGAGUAGUACCUUGUUCGGUAUUUUUCAUGACCUUCAUUUGCAGUAGAAAUUUCUAAAUACUAGGCUAGUAGCAUUUCGUUUUCACAUACUCCAUCAACAUACAGAGUCUUUUUCAUCUGGUACAAAUGUACAUUCAAUGUACAUUCUUAAACAAUGCAUUUCAAGUUGGCUGGUCUAAUGGAAGAGACACUAAUGUUUCCAACCCUUGGAGUAUCCAUCAAUCGCAUACGGCUCCAGAAAUCCUAUAAACUGCAAACAAACCAUCUCAGAUUCGUUGGAUUUUGCCCAACCACCUCAUGACUUAAUGCAUGAAGAAACAAAUUCAAACAGAAAAUAUACCUUAGUUCCAUCUACAGACCAUCAUGCGCCAUAACCAUCAUCGUUCCUGAUCUCGAAGACGCUUCCAUGUGGUCGAACAAUAUGCAUGUUCAUCCAGCUACAAUGAGCCAGUAGACGGCUGAUUGUCUCCACUGUAUGCCUAUUCUUCUCCAUUGUCUCUGCCUGGUUUAUUGAGAGACACGAGCUGAUGAUUCGUAUCCAGCACGACUGUCAGGCAGAAACAGUUUAGAAAACAUAUUAUAAUUAUAAUAAUAAUAAAAAAAACAUCAGUAGAGGAAAAGUGAACAAGUAUUGACUAUAUUCAGUCUGUGUAUUAAAUAAAGACAUGAUAUAAUAAGAAAAUAAACACCAAAAGCAGAGAAAACAAAAUUUAGAAUCUUUACGCAGCAGGCUUUACCUACAGGUGCUCUCCUAUCUUAGCAGCAGUUUGGCCAGCACUAGAUAUACGUGAAUCCAACCUUGCAAAACUAUCAAACAAGCUGCCAACACAUUUUUUCGGCUGCAUGUAAUAUGGCAGUUAGCAGCAUGCUGCAUGCCCUUGUGCCUUCAUAUAAAUUGAAUAAUAAUCUAUCAAACCAAGCCAUCUAACCUCAGAAAGUGUCUUCCGAUGCUUAAAAGUCUUUGAGCAAAAACUUCAGUUUUAUGAUUGUAGAGUUUCUGAUCAAUCAGAGAAACAUCAAUAUUAGGGAGAUCAUUUAAGUGAAUAGCAUAACACUGAAAACUGCAUACAUAAAUUCUUAAACAAAGACCAUAGAAAAUCAACUUCAGCAAAAACGGAUGGCACUCGAGCUGCUUUUGCUGCAUUCAAAUGAUCAUUGGCAAUUGGCCAUAAGCAUCAGUUGCACCACUCCCUUCAUAUGUAUCAAUUUCUUCUUCAGUAGAAGGCAAGUAUCCAAAUAGUGCAUUGAAUCAAAAGUACCUCACACAGUAAUUCGCAUGCCUGGUAAAAUCCCAUCAGAUGUCCAAACAGACAGAGACACCCACUCACUAGUCACUUCGAGAAACACAGAUAGGGAUCAGUUGAUGGAGAUUUGGAAAUUUGGAAAAUCUCCCAGUCUCCGUGUCCCAUUUUUAGUCUCUUUCAACUGAGCCAUAUCUACACAUCAGAAGCCAUGAUAAGGACACCAAUGUCAAUUAGCUUAACCUAAACGAAUGGAAACGAAAAACACUGUGAGGUACAGUUUUUCCAUUUAAACCAUAAAUAACCACAGAUCGCAAGCAAAACGUAAACAAAUUCAGGAAGUCAUCACAAUCAAAUAAAUGGAACAAGCAGAAUCCACAUUCAACACUGAAUCUCAAAUAAGGUUUCAAGUGUGCCAAUAUCUCCCUCGUUACAUGUCUGAAUUGCAUGAUUCUUGGGCCAUUGGUUAUCUUUCAUGAUGGGGAACAUGUGGUGAAAUUCCCUCGCCGAACCGCUUCCGUGCCAAAAUUGAGAUUUUCGGCUCCCCGACCAUUAAUUAGCUAAAAUGGCUUGCGAACCACCUACGUCCAAAAAUCGAGUCGACACGGAUUUCAAUUCUGAUCAUGUCCCACGUAGCCACCCUAAAAAUAUUCCCAACGGUCUUGAACGGACCAAAUCGCAAGGAUAGGUUGGAAACGGAGGGGACGAGCGCGUCCCCGACGGACGUUUUGCCAAUAUCUCCCCGUUACAGUCGAAUUGCAUGAUUCUUGGCCCUUGGUUAUCUUUCAUGAUGGGAAACAUGUGGUGAAAUUCCCUCGCCGAACCGCUUCCGUGCCAAAAUCGAGAUUUGGCUCCCCGACCCACUUAAUAUAGCUAAAAUGGCCUUGGCGAACCACUCGUCCAAAAAUGACGACACGGAUUUCAAUUCUGAUCCUGCUCCCACGUAGCCACCCUAAAAAUAUUCCCAUCGGUCAUUGAACGGACCAAAUCCGACAAGGAUAGGUUGGGAAACGGAGGGGACGUAGCGUCGUCCUCCGACGGACCGUUUUGCCAAUAUCUCCCUCGUUCCACGUCUGAAUUGCAUGAUUCUUGGGCCCUUAGUUAUCUUUCAUGAUGGGGAACAUGUGAAAUUAUUCACCGAACCGCUUCCGUGCCAAAAUCGAGAUUUCGGAUCCCAGAACCACUUAAUAUGGCCUUGACGAAAAUCGUAAAUCCUAAAAUUGACUAUUUUAAAAAUUAAAUUCGACCAGCCGGGAUUGUAGCCCUUGUUAUAAGGUUUCUAACGCAUAAAGAAUCGCGUCAAUCGGACGCAUAACGAAUAAGUUAUGACGAAAAUCGUAAAUUCAAACUAAAAACCUUAGAAACCCUAAAAACCCUCGAAACCCUCAAAACCCUAGAAACCCUAAAAACCCUAGAAACCCUAGAAACCCUAGAAAACCUAGAAACCCUAGAAACCCUAGAAACCCUAAAAACCCUAAAAAACCUAAAAACCCUAGAAACCCUAAAAACCCUAGAAACCCUAGAAACCCUAAAAACCCUAGAAACCCUAAAAACCCUAGAAACCCUAGAAACCCUAAAAACCCUAGAAAACCCUAAUUAAUGGGUCUGGUCAAACCGGGUAUGAACCGGUCUGGUCGAACCGGCGGUCCGGUCUGGUCAAACCGGCGGUCCGGUCUUGUCAACCCGGUCUGGUCGAACCGGCGGUCCGGUCUGGUCGAACCGGCGGUCCGGUCUUGUUAGCCCGGUCUGGUCGAACCGUGUUCGGUCUAGUUGAACCGGCGGUCCGACCAGCCGGUUUAAUUGAACCAGACCGGCUCGUAGGUAGUCCGGGUCAAUCUUAACCAGCCGGUCUAAUUUUACUGAGCCGGACCGGUUUUUAAAGCCGAACCGGUAUUUUUUUUUAAAUUCUCAAAAUAAAAAUAUUUUCUUUUAAAAUCUUAUUUUAAUCAUAACUUCUUCAUUACUCCUCCAAUUGCAACAAUUCUUGCACCCUUGAAAACCUUAUUUAAAAUCCUACAACUUGGUACGGUCAAAAUCAAAUUUACUCCACAUUGAAAAAAAUCUGAAAAACUUAUUUAGACACCACCCGGUCUGCCCCCCAAAAAAUAAGAAACAUAUGCCACCAGGCAGGCAUCUCCGUAAAUAAAAAAUAACAUGGUUUCCUCAAAAAACAAAAACAAAUUACAUUGCAUUUCUUCCUGUACUAAAAAAAACAUGGUAUUUCUUCCCCGGUUAAUUACAUCACUGAAAAACUCUGCAUUGAUGAUGUGAUGGUGCUGGAAAUGAGAUUAUUAGGAUCCCUAUCUUCUGCCUUUUCAUGUUCUUCUGCCUUUUUAUGUUCCUUUUUAAGCAUCUGCAAUCAGUUUCCAAAAUGUUAAAUAUCAAGAGAAAGACGAAAACACAAAAAAUAGUUGUGUUAUAAUAUAUCAGUUACACAGACCUACAACAUUAAACAUGGAGGAAUAGUGAACCAAACAGACUAUUUUAUACAAGCUAAGCAGUAGACAAAUUGAGCAUAGAAACACCAAAAUAAAUGAAAACAAAAAACCAAAAAGCAAAUGGUCACUGUUCAAAAUCCAGACACUUAAUUUGAUGUGUUAGUAUUGGACUAUAUUCACUCUGUAUAUUAAAGACAUGAUAUAAUAAGAAAAUAAACACCAAAUG